rnacentral:misc_RNA from 1 species
UAAGCAAAUGCCAUAAAAAUGCCCAAAACUCAUGAAGAUAGAGGAAAGCAGAGAAAAAUGAUAUAUUCAACUUCCAACACCAUAAACUAUGUCCACUCAGGCAGGGCAAAGACAUGCAUUUUUAACAAAUUCUUCCCCAUGUAUAAUAUAUAUAGUGAUAGUGCUCGCAGAAAAUUGCAUGUUGACCAGGAACCAAGAUUUUCAAGGAGAUUUAGUUCUUACUAGACUGCCAUUUUCUUAUGCAGAACUUGUAAUAUAUGGAUGACACAACAUUAUCCUUUGUCCAAGUUUCAAA